rnacentral:rRNA from 1 species
CCUACGGGAGGCAGCAGUGGGGAAUCUUGCGCAAUGGGCGAAAGCCUGACGCAGCAACGCCGCGUGCGGGAAGAAGGCUUUCGGGCUGUAAACCGCUUUCAGCAGGAACGAAAAUGACGGUACCUGCAGAAGAAGGAGCGGCCAACUAUGUGCCAGCAGCCGCGGUGAUACAUAGGCUUCAAGCGUUGUCCGGAUUUAUUGGGCGUAAAGAGUUCGUAGGCGGUCGAGUAAGUCGGGUGUGAAAAUUCUGGGCUCAACCCAGAGACGCCACCCGAUACUGCUUGACUUGAGUUCGAUAGGGGAGUGGGGAAUUCCUAGUGUAGCGGUGAAAUGCGCAGAUAUUAGGAGGAACACCGGUGGCGAAGGCGCCACUCUGGAUCGAUACUGACGCUGAGGAACGAAAGCAUGGGUAGCAAACAGGAUUGGAUACCCUGGUAGUCCAUGCCGUAAACGGUGGGCACUAGGUGUGGGUUUCCUAUUAACGAAAUCCGCGCCGUCGCUAACGCAUAGUGCCCGCCGUGGGAGGUACGGUCGCGAGACUAAACUACAAUAGAUAGACGCGUGAGACGUGCCGACGGACGACGACGAGGGAGAGG